AUUGAACGCUAGCGGGAUGCUUUACACAUGCAAGUCGAACGAGUGGCGGACGGGUGGGUAAGAUAUUGGAACGUGCCCAGUAGCGGGGGCUAACUACGCGAAAGAGUGGCUACUGCCGCCUACGAUCGGAGCGGCCGAUAUCGGAUUAGCGAGUUGGUGGGGUAAAGGCUCACCAAGGCGACGAUCCGUAGCUGGUUUGAGAGGACGACCAGCCACACUGGUACUGAGACACGGCCCAGACUCCUACGGGAGGCAGCAGUGGGGAAUUUUGGACAAUGGGGGAAACCCUGAUCCAGCCAUCCCGCGUGUAUGAGAAGGCCUUCGGGUUGUAAAGGACUUUUAGCGGAGAGGCGUUAUCUGCAGAAUAAGCACCGGCUAACUACGUGCCAGCAGCCGCGGUAAUUC
rnacentral:rRNA from 1 species